ACAGAAAUGCAACAACCGGUUUAAAUCUACCCUGUGAACCCAACAUUUAUAAUAAUAUGUAACCUUGUGGGGUCUGAGAUGAGGGAAUGUUGCAAUUUUUGCUAAGCCGGCUCGGUGCCUCCUGACGCAGAUAGCAAAUCAAGGACAAAGUGGUGUUAAUCUAUGGCAACUUUCUUUCGAUACCUCCCUGCAAGCGACUAGGGUUAUUAUUCAUGGGGAAAGUGUUUAUUAGCUGCACAUUGCGUCAUGUUUUAGCUGCCGACCGUGGUUGAUUGCCACAUGGCUGAUGUUACAGAGUGUUUCACUUCAUGUCCGCAUUCCAGCUAAUGUUGCGCAGAUAAAAUUCAGACUGGAGGUAAACAUGGGUGCUGACGCUCUGUUGACAUGGUCCAAAUCCAAAACACAAGCAGCACCACAGUGCCCGCCCCUUCCCCUUCCAGUUGUGCGUGCUUUUUGUUGUUAAAAUCUGUUCACUAGUCUGGUAACCUGUGUUUGUAUUAACUUACUGGCUUUAGAUGUGCCGAUAUUCCUCUCCCUCCCCAAAGAACACGAUGUAAACAGAAAUAAUAAAGACGUCACCAUGGUCCGGCUAGGUACAGUGAGCAGCACCUGACGCGCGUUGGAGGCCAGCGUGAACGCGCGGGGCGGGGAGCGCGCCCAUGACGAUGUUUAGUUUUGCAGCCCAAGCCUCUUGCAAAGUUUGAUUUUCUUGCCCCUUUUGCAAAGAGCAUUGCCACCUCUCGCCUUGGGGGUUUUAAUGCAACAUUAUAUCCAAGUCUUAAGACUGGGAAGAGGGAAAUAAACAGUCGCGGGGGCGCGCUUGCGGAUGAUGCGCAACUGCAGCUGCGCGACCCGUGCUCGCCCCCGUGAACGCGCACGGCUGGGGAAGAGGAUGCUGCGUUCGCGUGAGGUUUGAAGAAGAUUUCUUUGCGUGCGAAGGAGCGGAAAGAAGACCUUUUAAAAAUCGUCAGUGUUACAAUUUGUUAGUUUCUGGGUUACAUUGCAUUGGCUACAAUGUCUUCUGCAAAGUAACCAAGUACUUCCAGAGCUGUCUCAACCCUCUGACGGAUGUGACUUGUUUCCAUGUCUCUGUGACGCAGCAACCUUUUAACUUUUCUGAUAACAUCACUGCUUCUUUCCCUCCAUCCUGAAAAUUCUCUGACAGACAACCCCCAGAGCACGCAGGGGAUGACUUCAAAAAAAACACCUCUGAAGGUUCAGUGGGUUGUUAAGAAACAGCCAACAUUCUAAGAUUGCUUUUCCGAAGUCAUGAGUUCUGUCUGGUUGUCUUUCAUUACUUGACCCUGCGCAAACCAGUACACUGAGGUUCUCCUCAACUCCAGGUCCGGAGGAGCUUGCAUUACUGCACACAUACUCGUCGCGGUUCAUCUCCAGCUUGUGUGCCUUACUGAUCCUGGAAGCUACCAGUCGUGUUUCCCUGUCAUCGGUUCAUGUGGAACCAGACCGAUCUCCCCUCGUGUUCUUGUAUUAUUGAUACUUGUCCAGAACUGCAAGGGUUAAUUUUCUUUUGCAAGCAUGACGUCCUUCGCUUUGACAUCCUAGUCCUUGAUGUUAAGGGGGAGUGGGAAGAAGAGGCUGGACUAGUUGGUUACUUUCACAUCACAACCCUUGCUUCUGUUUGCUUUACUCGGACACAUUCUUAGAAGCAGGUCUGCUAUCGCUUUAUCUGCUUCCUCCAUAUAAUGCUCUACAAUGUGGCGCAUGUAUUGGCUCAAUUUGCAUUCUUCAGUGUAAAGC